rnacentral:misc_RNA from 1 species
CUCUGCUUCCGUUGAGAGAUCAUUCUAUUGUACAGGAUUAGCUAAGAAGGCUGAAUAUAGCUCUGAAUCUGCAAAUUCGGGUUAUCGACUCUCCGUUUCCAGCAAAUAAUGCUUGGUUUCCGGUGAUGAGAGAUAAAAAUAAUCACCUUCUGUUUGUAACGGAUUUGCUAAUACAAAAUCAAAACAGAAAUGGAGAGAAAUAGAGAAGUUAGAAGAGUAAAUAUGGCUGCUGCAAAUGGUUUGGCGUCUAGAAGACGACAUAGAAGUGGGAGCCUAAGAGAUUCUCCAGAGGAUGAUGG